rnacentral:lncRNA from 1 species
AAAUUAGGUUAUGAUUUUACAAAUUAAGCAUCAAAACAUCAUGUUUUACAACAAAUUUGACAGAAAAAGUAGUUCAAUACGCAGUAAUGUUAUGUUGUAAUUACAGUAGAGUCUCUUAUCCAAGCCUCGCUUAUCCAAGCUUCUGGAUUAUCCAAGCCAUUUUUGUAGUCAAUGUUUUCAAUAUAUCGUGAUAUUUUGGUGCUAAAUUCGUAAAUACAGUAGAUACAACAUAACAUAACUGCGCAUUGAACUACUUUUUCUGUCAAAUUUGUUGUAAAACAUGAUGUUUUGAUGCUUAAUUUGUAAAAACAUAACCUAAUUUGAUGUUUAAUAGGCUUUUCCUUAAUCCCUCCUUAUUAUCCAAGAUAUUAGCUUAUCCAAAGCUUCUGCUGGCCCGUUUAGCUUGGAUAAGUGAGACUCUACUGUAUAUAAAAGGGUAAUGAAAUUUCGGCCUAGGACAAAACAACAAAACUACACAUCCCAGAAACACUAAACUUGGCAGCACAACCCCUCAUCCAUGCCUCUACGUUCAUACAACAAAAAGAAAAGAAAAAUAAAGUCCUAAUUAGAGGGAGAGGAAUAAUUGUUUUUAUCCAAUUGCUGCCAGUUAGAAGGCUAAGCUCUGUCUACUUGGUCUCCUAGCAACCCACUCAGCCCAGGGGACAGGCAGAGUUAGGCCUCACUUAGGCCUCUUCCACACUGCCUAUAAAAUACAGAUUAUCUGAUUUUAACUGGAUUAUAUGGCAGUGUAGACUCAAGGCCCUUCCACACAGCUAUAUAACCCAUUUAUAAUGGACUUAAUGUCAGGGGAAAACCUUUACCCUUUACCUUAACUACCACCAAUUCCUCAAUACUUUAUUUCCCAUGCCACCAUACUUCGCCACAGCAACGCGUGGCCGGGCACAGCUAGUACUUACAUAUAUGCUUGGUUAGAAUUCAGUCUUGUCAUGGCCAAGCAAAAAUAUUCAUAGAGUGGACUCCAAUAUGCUGAUGAUAAUGUAGUCUGUGCUCAUUCAGAGAGCCAACUUUAAUAUUGC